rnacentral:rRNA from 1 species
GAUGAACGCUGGCGGCGUGCCUAAUACAUGCAAGUCGAGCGAACAGACGAGGAGCUUGCUCCUCUGACGUUAGCGGCGGACGGGUGAGUAACACGUGGAUAACCUACCUAUAAGACUGGGAUAACUUCGGGAAACCGGAGCUAAUACCGGAUAAUAUAUUGAACCGCAUGGUUCAAUAGUGAAAGACGGUUUUGCUGUCACUUAUAGAUGGAUCCGCGCCGCAUUAGCUAGUUGGUAAGGUAACGGCUUACCAAGGCAACGAUGCGUAGCCGACCUGAGAGGGUGAUCCGCCACACUGGAACUGAGACACGGUCCCGACUCCUAAGGGCGGCAGCAGUAGGGAAUCUUCCGCAAUGGGCGAAAGCCUGAAGGAGGCACGCCGCGUGAGUGAUGAAGGUCUUCGGAUCGUAAAACUCUGUUAUUAGGGAAGAAAAAAUGUGUAAGUAACUGUGCACCUCUUGACGGUACCUAAUCAGAAAGCCACGGCUAACUACGUG